rnacentral:rRNA from 1 species
AUUGAACGCUGGCGGCAGGCCUAACACAUGCAAGUCGAGCGAGCGGCGGACGGGUGAGUAAUGUAUGGGGACUGCCCGAUAGAGGGGGAUAACUACGGGAAACGGUAGCUAAUACCACAUACGAUCGGAUAACCCAUAUGGGAUUAGCUAGUAGGUGAGGUAAUGGCUCACCUAGGCGACGAUCCCUAGCUGGUCUGAGAGGAUGAUCCGCCAAACGGGGACUGAGACACGUCCCAGACUCCGACGGAGGCAGCAGUGGGGAAUAUUGCCCAAUGGGCGCAAGCCUGAUGCAGCCAUGCCGCGUGUAUGAAGAAGGCCCUAGGGUUGUAAAGUACUUUCAGUCGGGAGGCGUUACCGACAGAAGAAGCACCGGCUAACUCCGUGCCAGCAGCCGCGGUAAUAC